rnacentral:rRNA from 1 species
GAUGAACGCUGGCGGCGUGCUUAACACAUGCAAGUCGAACGGAAAGGCUCCUGCUUGCAGGGGUACUCGAGUGGCGAACGGGUGAGUAACACGUGGGUGAUCUGCCCUGCACUUCGGGAUAAGCCUGGGAAACUGGGUCUAAUACCGGAUAGGACGAUGGUUUGGAUGCCAUUGUGGAAAGUUUUUCGGUGUGGGAUGAGCUCGCGGCCUAUCAGCUUGUUGGUGGGGUAAUGGCCUACCAAGGCGUCGACGGGUAGCCGGCCUGAGAGGGUGGACGGCCACAUUGGGACUGAGAUACGGCCCAGACUCCUACGGGAGGCAGCAGUGGGGAAUAUUGCACAAGGGGCGCAAGCCUGAUGCAGCGACGCCGCGUGGGGGAUGACGGCCUUCGGGUUGUAAACUCCUUUCGCUAGGGACGAAGCGCAAGUGACGGUACCUGGAGAAGAAGCACCGGCUAACUACGU